rnacentral:lncRNA from 1 species
UUCACAGAAUCACAGAAUAUGCUGAGUUGCAAGGGACCCUCAAGGAUCAUCAAGUCCAGUUCCUGGCCCUGCACAGGACCAUCCCCAAGAGUCACACCAUGUGCCUGAGAGUGUCGUCCAAAUGCUUCUUGAACUCUGGCAGGCUUGGUGCUGUGACAAUUUCAGUGUGCUAGGGUGUUUACCACGUGGGACAACUUGGUGGAGAACACCUCCAGAGGACAGCAGCAGUGUGCUGGGCUUGUGUAUCCUCCUGUGUUCAACCCCUCCAACAGCAGGGGAUGUUGGGGUUUCUUCAGGUCAAGGCUGGUUCUGCCAGCAUAACUCCAGAGCACAUAGUGCCGCUCAUUCACAGCCUGUGGCCAGGGCUGGGUACAGUGGCCACCCUAAACGUUCAGGUGAACGUCAGCUGGACCCAGCACCAGUGUCUCCACAGCCCGUGGUGUUGCACAGCUGGCAGAGAACUGCUUCAGCUCCAGGAAGAGUCUUGUCACCUGUGACGGAGCUGUGAGGCGUGCUCCCCCUGCCACAACCUGACCUUUAUUUCCCAGUGAGAAGGGGGAGUAAACCAGUGACACAAGUGGCAGUUGUUUGUCAUGGACACAUCUGGUGGUGAUGGCUGUAUCCACCCAAAGUGGAUUCAAGGGAGAUAGAGAACAACACCAUGGCCAGUGGCCAAUCUGAACAACACACCGCCCUAACCACAGUACCACUCCAGGUCUGACUGCACCAAGGCUGGAAGAAAAAACAUCUGUAGUCGGUGUGCAGAUAUGAUCAUGAGUCAUCCUAUUCCAUAAAUAGUGGGCAGCCCUGGGCCUGUUGAGCUCUCCUGCACAGCGGUGGGCUGCAUCCCAGGAUCUUCCCUUGAGUAGGGACAGCUCUAAAGGGGACUCCUCAAGGUCAAAGAAAUUUUGUCUGUCCUCUCUGCAGUAAACACUCGAGUGUACUGAGUGUUUUUUUGUUAAGUCACUGUCACGCUUGCCACUGAACUUUGUUAACUCAUUCUUGUAUCAAUAAAAUCCAUUGUCCCUUCUUUGGAGAGUGAAGU